rnacentral:rRNA from 1 species
UAGGGAAUCUUCGGCAAUGGGGGGAACCCUGACCGAGCAACGCCGCGUGAGUGAAGAAGGUUUUCGGAUCGUAAAGCUCUGUUGUUAAGGAAGAACGAGUGUGAGAAUGGAAAGUUCAUGCUGUGACGGUACUUAACCAGAAAGGGACGGCUUACUACGUGCCAGCAGCCGCGGUAAUACGUAGGUCCCGAGCGUUGUCCGGAUUUAUUGGGCGUAAAGCGAGCGCAGGCGGUUAGAAAAGUCUGAAGUGAAAGGCAGUGGCUCAACCAUUGUAGGCUUUGGAAACUGUUUAACUUGAGUGCAGAAGGGGAGAGUGGAAUUCCAUGUGUAGCGGUGAAAUGCGUAGAUAUAUGGAGGAACACCGGUGGCGAAAGCGGCUCUCUGGUCUGUAACUGACGCUGAGGCUCGAAAGCGUGGGGAGCGAACAGG